GGCACAGAUACUGCAUAUGCUAGGGCGGAGCCCCGAACAGCGUAUCGUUUGGGGAUAGUCGGCGCAGGGGCCGGCGUCAUCGCUUU
ncrna:Xanthomonas fuscans subsp. fuscans rpfG RNA